AUUGAACGCUGGCGGCAUGCCUUACACAUGCAAGUCGAACGGCAGCACGGGUGCUUGCACCUGGUGGCGAGUGGCGAACGGGUGAGUAAUACAUCGGCACGUACCUUAUCGUGGGGGAUAACGCAGCGAAAGCUGUGCUAAUACCGCAUACGCCCUGAGGGGGAAAGCGGGGGAUCGCAAGACCUCGCGCGAUUAGAGCGGCCGAUGCCGGAUUAGCUUGUUGGUGGGGUAAAAGCCCACCAAGGAGACGAUCAGUAGCUGGUCUGAGAGGACGAUCAGCCACACUGGGACUGAGACACGGCCCAGACUCCUACGGGAGGCAGCAGUGGGGAAUUUUGGACAAUGGGGGCAACCCUGAUCCAGCAAUGCCGCGUGAGUGAAGAAGGCCUUCGGGUUGUAAAGCUCUUUUGUCAGGGAAGAAACACCGGCUCUAACACAGUCCGGGAAUGACGGUACCUGAAGAAUAAGCACCGGCUAACUACGUGCCAGCCGCCGCAGUAA
rnacentral:rRNA from 1 species